rnacentral:rRNA from 1 species
UGCAGUCGAGCGGGGAAGUAGCUUGCUACUUAACCUAGCGGCGGACGGGUGAGUAAUGCUUAGGAAUCUGCCUAUUAGUGGGGGACAACAUCUCGAAAGGGAUGCUAAUACCGCAUACGUCCUACGGGAGAAAGCAGGGGACCUUCGGGCCUUGCGCUAAUAGAUGAGCCUAAGUCGGAUUAGCUAGUUGGUGGGGUAAAGGCCUACCAAGGCGACGAUCUGUAGCGGGUCUGAGAGGAUGAUCCGCCACACUGGGACUGAGACACGGCCCAGACUCCUACGGGAGGCAGCAGUGGGGAAUAUUGGACAAUGGGGGGAACCCUGAUCCAGCCAUGCCGCGUGUGUGAAGAAGGCCUUUUGGUUGUAAAGCACUUUAAGCGAGGAGGAGGCUACCGAGAUUAAUACUCUUGGAUAGUGGACGUUACUCGCAGAAUAAGCACCGGCUAACUCUGUGCCAGCAGCCGCGGUAAUACAGAGGGUGCAAGCGUUAAUCGGAUUUACUGGGCGUAAAGCGCGCGUAGGUGGCCAAUUAAGUCAAAUGUGAAAUCCCCGAGCUUAACUUGGGAAUUGCAUUCGAUACUGGUUGGCUAGAGUAUGGGAGAGGAUGGUAGAAUUCCAGGUGUAGCGGUGAAAUGCGUAGAGAUCUGGAGGAAUACCGAUGGCGAAGGCAGCCAUCUGGCCUAAUACUGACACUGAGGUGCGAAAGCAUGGGGAGCAAACAGGAUUAGAUACCCUGGUAGUCCAUGCCGUAAACGAUGUCUACUAGCCGUUGGGGCCUUUGAGGCUUUAGUGGCGCAGCUAACGCGAUAAGUAGACCGCCUGGGGAGUACGGUCGCAAGACUAAAACUCAAAUGAAUUGACGGGGGCCCGCACAAGCGGUGGAGCAUGUGGUUUAAUUCGAUGCAACGCGAAGAACCUUACCUGGUC